CAGCUAUACCAUGCUGAAUAUACCGGUUCUCGUUAGAUCACUGAAGUCAAGCAUCAUCGCGGUCAGUACUUGGGUGGGUGACCACCUGGGAACACCGCGUGCGGU